CCAUGAUCUGCAGCUUCAUGUCUCAUGGAGCAUCCCUUGUCAUGUUUUUCUCCAGCCUCUCUCACAAGGAGAACCGAGUCGGGCCCAUGCUCACCAAGACCAGCAGAACUCUGUUCCUGCACCUUGUGCUGGCCAGCUGAGCAUGUGCAGCACUACUGAAUGGAUGACUUCAGAAACUGCUUGACCCCAUGCUUCACCUGACAGCUGAGCUUCCCUACAUGGUCCCAAGUUUCAGAGGCACUCAAGUGGGGUGCAAAAGGAAAAGUGAUGUAGAAUGAAAACUGGAAGAAUUUCCAAGGAAAGAAAGAGUCACAGAGCCUGCAGAUGAAGACAUACCUACGUGUUAAUGAGAGACAUCUGACCAGCAGUGAUCUUGUUAGAGAGCGGUGUAGACGAGCAGUACUCCUCAAAUGCUCAAAUGUCAGGAGAGUUUGGAUUCAUCACCAAUCCCUCUGCCCGGAGACCCAGAUCAGAAGUGAUUUCAUUCAUGAAGCCUCUCUGCCAGAGCUCGUUAGUGAAAUCUAUGCACACUGUCUUGCCCGCAGGCACCUUCUCCCUUUUCUGAAUUACGACAUGUCUAAGUUUUGCAUUUUGGAUCUGUUUGCCAUCUAUGAUAGUGAGGAGUCAUAUAUUCUACAGUGACAAACAGCAGACGGCGGAAAGAUAUUUUAAAAGUUUUCAUUUGGCUUCAAUGAGGAUAUAUCUGCCAGUUCAUGGAGGUCAGGACAGUUUGUUCUUACAGAUUGGUCUGGAAUAAGAUGUGUAUUGUAAUGGUUAGGCACAGCCUCUGACAGGACAAAUCAGUAGUGACUUCUGACAUCCAGAAACAGGGUAAUGAAGUUAAUUGCAGGUAUUUUCUCAACAGUAGAAAAGCUUUAAUUUAAAAGUAUACUGGAGGAAAUUCUGCUUGGUUUUGAUCAGGAAUACUACAAAACAAUCUUCUAAUCUGAUAACAUCAUUUGUUUUAGCCAGCUUAGACUCUUCUCUGACUUUCUGGAAGGGCUAUGCAAAGUCUCUCAUCUUUUCCCAGGCUUUCUUCUCUUUCAUCUACAAUCCACCAGUCUCUUCACUUGAUUCCAUUCUCCCAGCUGCACACUCUUAAGUUUACGUUUGAUUUUGGUGCCUCCAGGCUGUGGGAUAGAUGGUAAGCACAGCACCAGCAGUGGAGAGCUGAGUCUCUUGACCUUUUCAGUAGCCCUCUGUUUGAUGGGAUGAAGCAGCAGAUGACAGAAGCAGGACUACCUGGAUGAAAAUUGAGAGCAGCUCUGUUUAUUCUAACUAUGAAUUCUAUGUGGCAGCUUAAAAUUUCUCUCCACUAGCAGCUGCCUUUCACUAGAUUUGAUUGUUGUUUGAUUGGUUGAAUCUGACUGUUAUUUGUUUUCCUCCUAAUUUCUAUGUCACUGAGUGUACACAUCACACACCACUAACAGAUAUUUUGAUGUUUACUCUUUCUGUCCCCCCAAAGUCACAGAUAGAAGCAGCAUUGACGGAGGGGUAGGAGUGGCCCAUAGAAACCUGUUGGAAAUGCUCUAGAAGGUGAGGACUUCAGAAAUUUAACAUACAGUGUGAACAGCAGGCAUUUAGUAAUUUUUGCUGGGGAACAAGGCUACUUUUGAUUUAAUUCUGUCCCAUGAACCUCAGA
rnacentral:lncRNA from 1 species